CCAUGCCAGCCUCACCCUCCCUUGGAUCCUCCAUCCAAGUCUCUCCCUCCUUCUGGUAUAUUUCCUGAUUAUUCUCCAGUCCUCCUAUCUGAUGAGUCUUCUGAGAAUUCCAGCAUAGAGGAGAUCACACCCGCAUGCAGUGAAUGUCUCUCAGAUUUCUGCUCCACAUUUCCCCCCACUCUUGAUAAUAACUCUGCCAAUGACUUGGCCUCAUUUCAAUUCAUAAUCAGCUCUUCUGUUCCUACCAAACCUCCCCUUUUCCUCCCUGUGAAUUUGCCUCCCCUUUCCAGUUCCCCCUCUGACUUCUCCUUGAGUCCUCCUGACAGCCCUACUUAUUAGUCCCCUGUACUCCACCCUGCAAAUCCAGUCACCUCAUGAUUCAUGAAUCUCCUCUGGAGGGAUAUUCUCCCUCCUGCUGGGCCAGUUCUGGUACAUCUCACAAUGGAAGCACUCUGGAUGUCCAGCAGCCUGACCAGACAGCCUGCUUCAGCCUCUCUCUGUAUAUACUGGUUUCCUCAUGGAAUGUAGUUGUUUCCACUGAACAAAAUGGAGGAAGAAUGAUAGAGAGGAGAUGGAAGGCGAAGAGGGGAGUCAUCGCCUCUGUUCUCCUGCAGGAGGGUGGAUGUAAAUGUAGAAGCACCUAG
rnacentral:lncRNA from 1 species